rnacentral:lncRNA from 13 species
CCUCCACAAGCAGUUUCCCAAAGACUGUGUUCACGACCAUGCGGUGAAAAUCUUACAACGUCUCUUUAGAAUUUCAGAAUGGUAAAGCUGGGGUGGAAUUUAGGAUCCCAUGAGUGAAAAGUUCUCCUUUUGCAGAAGAGGAUUCUGAGAGCCAUGCGUGAGUGGAAGUGUCAGGAAUAGAAUCCGGGUGCCUAACACUUAGCUGCCAUCUUUAAUACUUAGCUUCUUAUUUAGUCUAACCCAGUUCAGAGGUUAUAGAGUCGCUGAUUUCUUAAAAUUCCUUCUGGAUUACACAGUUGCUGAUUCUAAGCAAGAGUCAUAGGAUGAAAGUCUGUGAGCUGAACUGCCCAGAUCCCACAGGCUGUUCAUUGCUGAGAUUACUCCCAAACCAGCUUAGGCCCCAUUACUAUUUUUUAGGGGGAAUGUUGAACCUGUCAAGGAUGAAUUCCUCUAAUGGCUGUGGCAAAGCCAUUUGGUGUUUGGUUUACAUGAAAGUCACAAGACACUGAGUGUUCUUUUUUUCUCCACUUGCGUUUUUCUCUGUUUGGUGCAACUACUUAGUAUUGGAACACACAGCUCCUGAAAGGAGGAAGUGACUUAGAAGAUGAGGGAAGUGGAAGGAAUAGUUGAAACAACAAAAAUACCUUUGUUAUUCUUUUUCUUCCCUGAAGUAGUUUUCACUGUUACAGCUUCAGACGAUUUUGUAAUCUCGUUCAUAGUUGAACUUCCUCUCUGUUUGGCUGGUUGGAAAAAAAAAGAUUUUUUAAAAAGCAGCCUGUUUAAAGUCAAAUGAAUGGGUUUCUGACACACCUUGAUGCUGGUUGUGGCCUUUAUUUUAUGUUCACUUUACCCAGAGAUAUUUCUCACCAGAGAGAAUGAUCUGACCUCUUGUCAAGAUCACAUUCACUUCAGUUCAGUCCCGUGGUUUUGUCUUUUUUGAGAUGAAGUCUCACUCAUCGCCCAGGCUGGAGUGCAAUGGUGCCAUCUCUGCUCACUGCAACCUCUGCCUUCCGGUUUCAAGUGAUCUUCCCACCUCAGCCUCCCGAGUAGCUGGGAUUACAGCCCUGGGACUGUUGGCAGGCACAUCAGCUGUCUUUUCCUGCUUGGAGAAAGCCUGGCUGCAGCCGGAGGAAGGAAGGCCAACCCUUGGAAGGGAAGUAGAGUCAAGAGCAGCAAAUUCUGAGUCUCCUAGUGAGGUGGUUUGAGCCCCUGAAUUCGGUCAUCUCUGAAGACAGCUGUACCCAUGGAUGUCCCAGUUAUGUGAGCCAAUAAACCCAUGCUCGUCUUUAAUUCUGUUUGGGUU